rnacentral:rRNA from 1 species
GAUGAACGCUAGCGGGAGGCCUAACACAUGCAAGCCGAGCGGUAUUGUUUCUUCGGAAAUGAGAGAGCGGCGUACGGGUGCGGAACACGUGUGCAACCUGCCUUUAUCUGGGGGAUAGCCUUUCGAAAGGAAGAUUAAUACUCCAUAAUAUAUUGAUUGGCAUCAAUUAAUAUUGAAAGCUCCGGCGGAUAGAGAUGGGCACGCGCAAGAUUAGCUAGUUGGUGAGGUAACGGCUCACCAAGGCGAUGAUCUUUAGGGGGCCUGAGAGGGUGAUCCCCCACACUGGUACUGAGACACGGACCAGACUCCUACGGGAGGCAGCAGUGAGGAAUAUUGGUCAAUGGGUGCAAGCCUGAACCAGCCAUCCCGCGUGAAGGACGACUGCCCUAUGGGUUGUAAACUUCUUUUGUAUAGGGAUAAACCUACCCUCGUGAGGGUAGCUGAAGGUACUAUACGAAUAAGCACCGGCUAACUCCGUGCCAGCAGCCGCGGUAAUACGGAGGGUGCAAGCGUUAUCCGGAUUUAUUGGGUUUAAAGGGUCCGUAGGCGGACUUAUAAGUCAGUGGUGAAAGCCUGUCGCUUAACGAUAGAACUGCCAUUGAUACUGUAAGUCUUGAGUAUAUUUGAGGUAGCUGGAAUAAGUAGCGUAGCGGUGAAAUGCAUAGAUAUUACUUAGAACACCAAUUGCGAAGGCAGGUUACCAAGAUAUAACUGACGCUGAGGGACGAAAGCGUGGGGAGCGAACAGGAUUAGAUACCCUGGUAGUCCACGCCGUAAACGAUGCUAACUCGUUUUUGGGCUUUAGGGUUCAGAGACCAAGCGAAAGUGAUAAGUUAGCCACCUGGGGAGUACGCUCGCAAGAGUGAGACUCAAAGGAAUUGACGGGGGCCCGCACAAGCGGUGGAUUAUGUGGUUUAAUUCGAUGAUACGCGAGGAACCUUACCAAGACUUAAAUGGGAAUUGACAGCUUUAGAAAUAGAGCUUUCUUCGGACAAUUUUCAAGGUGCUGCAUGGUUGUCGUCAGCUCGUGCCGUGAGGUGUUAGGUUAAGUCCUGCAACGAGCGCAACCCCUGUCACUAGUUGCCAUCAUUCAGUUGGGGACUCUAGUGAGACUGCCUACGCAAGUAGAGAGGAAGGUGGGGAUGACGUCAAAUCAUCACGGCCCUUACGUCUUGGGCCACACACGUAAUACAAUGGCCGGUACAGAGGGCAGCUACACAGCGAUGUGAUGCAAAUCUCGAAAGCCGGUCUCAGUUCGGAUUGGAGUCUGCAACUCGACUCUAUGAAGCUGGAAUCGCUAGUAAUCGCGCAUCAGCCAUGGCGCGGUGAAAACGUUCCCGGGCCU